GAGCGGCUGUAUUUGAAAGAGGUUUUGGGCUCGAUUCCCCCCUCCCCCGGUGUAUUAAGAAAUAUACUGUCUCUUAUUCAGUGAGAAUUGGUCUCUUUUUAAUGAUACUUUAAAAAUUAAUCACUUUUAUUCUCCAGAAUAAUUUUUAAUCUUUGUUCUUUCCCUUUAGAAAUCCCCAGUUGGACAUCCAGAGCACCUACCCUGUUCUUUCUGCGUCUUGAACAUCACCAGGACUCUCUGAGGUCUGAAAGGGAAAUAAAAGGUAUUACAUGCUGCAGAGGGUUGCUGAAGAUAGAACGGACUCCCUGUGACACCUGCCCCCCAUCCAUAAAAUACUCAUUCCUCUUUCAACUCUGCCUGCAGUUGAGCACAAAGACCUGGAGGAGACUCCCACAUCCUUCGGGGAGAAGAAAGGAGGCAGCUAAGCAGAUUAAAGGAACUUGUGGCUUGUGGCCUUUUGGAAAGGGGGAAAGUGAAUUAGAGGCCCCGGUGGCAGUUAAUGAGCUGUGAGAUGAGGCGCCGCUGCUGCUGCUGCUGCUGACACCCAGAUUCCAAGCUCCGUCCGCGCUGCCCUUUGUGCUUCAUGUACAUGUGUCUAUUCAGCGCAUCCGGAGGCGCCCAGACCAGAAUCCAACACGGCUG
rnacentral:lncRNA from 1 species